UACAGAGGGGGCAAGCGUUGUUCGGAAUUACUGGGCGUAAAGGGCGCGUAGGCGGCCUGUUAAGUCGAACGUGAAAUCCCCGGGCUCAACCCGGGAACUGCGUCCGAUACUGGCAGGCUUGAAUUCGGGAGAGGGAUGUGGAAUUCCAGGUGUAGCGGUGAAAUGCGUAGAUAUCAGGAAGAACACCCGUGGCUAAGGCGGUUCUCUAGUACGGUACUGACGCUGAGACGCGAAAGCGUGGGGAGCGAACAGG
rnacentral:rRNA from 1 species